GUGGGGGAUAUUGCACAAUGGAGGAAACUCUGAUGCAGCGACGCCGCGUGAGGGAAGAAGGUCUUCGGAUUGUAAACCUCUGUCUUCAGGGACGAAACAAAUGACGGUACCUGAGGAGGAAGCCACGGCUAACUACGUGCCAGCAGCCGCGGUAAUACGUAGGUGGCAAGCGUUGUCCGGAAUUACUGGGUGUAAAGGGAGCGCAGGCGGGGAAGCAAGUUGGGAGUGAAAUCUAUGGGCUUAACCCAUAAAUUGCUUUCAAAACUGUUUUUCUUGAGUAGUGCAGAGGUAGGCGGAAUUCCCGGUGUAGCGGUGGAAUGCGUAGAUAUCGGGAGGAACACCAGUGGCGAAGGCGGCCUACUGGGCACCAACUGACGCUGAGGCUCGAAAGUAUGGGUAGCAAACAGGAUUAGAAACCCGUGUAGUCC
rnacentral:rRNA from 1 species